CCGCCGUAGGCUAGGACUGAACCACUUUUUCCCGCCGUAGGCUAGGACUGAACCACUUUUUCCCGCCGUAGGCUAGGACUGAACCACUUUUUCCCCGCCGUCAGACCACGCCCUACACCUUCGUAAGCAAGCCCCGGCCCCCACCCAGCCAAUCAGAGUAGGCUAACUCAGUAACUUGAGUAGCAUUCCCAUCCUCCCUGAGCCCCCGUCUAUAAAAUUGCGGUAUAACAAAAGAUCGGGGCUCACAGCCCCCACUCUGUAUUCAGGGUAUGCUGUGAGACCUAGCAUGCUGGUUUUAAUAAACCCUUUGUUUUUUACAUGAGAGGCGUCUUUUGGGUGCUUUGUGAAUGCGGCCAGCUUUUCGGGCGUAACAUUUGGAGGUCCCACCGAGAUUGCGGCGGCCGCCUUCGGGCUCCAACAGACGCUUCUUGGGGUUAAAAGCCCUAGAGGGAAUCCAACGAUUUGUCUGGAAGCCUCUAGCCUCUGCUUACCAACCAGGAGACCUCAAGGUGCCCCACUCCUUCCACGUUGGAGAUUCAGUGUUCGUGAGGAGGCACCAGACCCACAGCUUAGAGCCCCGGUGGAAAGGACCCUACGUAGUGCUGCUGACCACUCCAACUGCGGUGAAAGUAGAUGGCAUCUCAUCAUGGAUCCAUGCCUCUCAUCUCAAGCCUGCCCCACAGCCAGGACCUGAAUGGACAAUGGAGAGGACUGACAAUCCUCUUAAGCUUCGCCUUCGCCGUAAGCCCUUGCCUGCCCAGUCCGAUGGCAGGUAACCCCCAUGCCCCUGCGGCCUUAGCCUGGGAAGUCAUCAACCCAACAGGACAAGUGGUCUGGUCGGUCGAGGGUACACACACACCGGGUAGCUGGUGGCCCACAUUACACCCUGAUAUCUGCCAACUGGCCGUUGGCCUGGACACUUGGGACAUACAAGACAUUGAGAACCCUAAUAACAUCCCCAAAGGUACCGACUAUCAUAGUGGGUACGGUGGCCCGGCCCCAGGUUUCGAAACAGCGGGGUGCAGUACCCCACAUAAACGCUACCUCCUCAA